UCUCUGUUGGUGAACCAGCGGAGGGAUCAUUACCAGAGUUUUACAACUCCCAACCCUUCUGUGAACCUACCUAUCGUUGCUUCGGCGGACUCGCCCCAGCGUCCGGACGGCCCCGCGCCAGCCCGCGACAUGGACCCAGGCGGCCGCCGGAGACCACACAAUCCUGUAUCCAUCAGUCUCUCUGAAUCCGCCGCAAGGCAAAACAAACGAAUCAAAACUUUCAACAAUGGAUCUCUUGGCUCUU
rnacentral:misc_RNA from 1 species